GAACCGUAUAACAAGGAGUUUGAGAACAUUGAUCUGCAAGGUGCGGUCUUGUUCUAUUGUGUAAAGAGAAGUGUGCAGCGGAAUGAGAAGAACGAGCUGACGCGCCUCCAGAUUUUCUUGCUUAAAUCAUUCACGAGAAAAUUAACAAAAGAUAACGGAGAGUUAGAUAAAAUUAAAUAAAUUAAAUAAAAUUAAAAGAAAGUA